rnacentral:rRNA from 1 species
GAUGAACGCUGGCGGCGUGCCUAAUACAUGCAAGUCGAGCGAACGGACGAGAAGUUUGCUUCUCUGAUGUUAGCGGCGGACGGGUGAGUAACACGUGGAUAACCUACCUAUAAUACUGGUAUAACUUCGGGAAACCGGAGCUAAUACCGUAUGAUAUUUUGAACCGCAUGGUUCAAAAGUGAAAGACGGUCUUGCUGUCACUUAUAGAUGGAUCCGCGCUGCAUUAGCUAGUUGGUAAGGUAACGGCUUACCAAGGCAACGAUGCAUAGCCGACCUGAGAGGGUGAUCGGCCACACUAGAACUGAGACACGGUCCAGACUUCUAAGGGAGGCAGCAGUAGGGAAUCUUGCGCAAUGGGCGAAAGCCUGACGGAGCAACGCCGCGUGAGUGAUGAAGGUCUUCGGAUCGUAAAACGCUGUUAUUAGGGAAGAACAUAUGUGUAAGUAACUGUGCACAUCUUGACGGUACCUAAUCAGAAAGCCACGGCUAACUACGUG